AACCAGCACCUCAAGUGGUCAGGAGGAUUAUUGGGCCUAAAGCAUCCGUAGCCGGAUCUGCAAGUUUUCGGUUAAAUCCAUGUGCUCAACAUAUGGGCUGCCGGGAAUACUACAGAUCUAGGAAGUGGGAGAGGUAGACGGUACUCGGUAGGAAGGGGUAAAAUCCUUUGAUCUAUUGAUGACCACCUGUGGCGAAGGCGGUCUACCAGAACACGUUCGACGGUGAGGGAUGAAAGCUGGGGGAGCAAACCGGAUUAGAAACCCUAGUAGUCC
rnacentral:rRNA from 1 species